rnacentral:tRNA from 1 species
GCCAUUGAAGCAGAACGGCUAAUGCAGAAGGCUUAAGCCCUUCCUAAGCAGGUUCGACUCCUGCCAAUUGCU